AUCGCUUCUCAGACUUUUGGCUAAGGUGAUGUGUAAUUCUGUUCUUGUCAGGUUUAAUAUCUGACAUACUGUAUACCCGAGUUAGGGACUGAAUAUUAAUCUGAUUUUUGCCGGAACAGUUGGGCUCACAGCUUGCUCCAACAACUUUGCGCAUCGUCCUGGCAUUGCAGUGUUUCUGGGAAUAAUGUACCCUCA